GACAUAGUAUGAUCUUGGCCGCCCGGGUGUUCAAACUUAUUGCCUCACACUGUAGCGUACCACCUACAACCAGUGGCUGGAUUCUAAUAUCAAGAUAUCUCAUCAUCGUCAUUAUCAUUUAUUGGAUAUGUAUUCUAUGUAUUUUUAUUUGCUAGACAUGUUAUUCAUAUAUUCCCGAAAAAUAUGUGAAGUGCCUCGCAUCAAUCUUCCGCCAGCGCUGUCAGAUUUCAUCAUGACAGGAAGGGGUAUAUCGGAUGCAGACUAACAAAGGAACAACUUGAACAAUCAAAACAGUCUCCUCAGAAUUAACCACUGAUCACUGGAUAUCAACGCCCUGACUCAGACACCUCCAACCUCCAUACCCCUCUUCACCCUCAACUUAUCCCAAAUCAUACAUUCCCCAUUCCCAGGACAAACCUUCUCCCUCACCAGUCCUUUGAACUUCACCCCAUCAGGCGCAGACACAUACUUACGCUGUCCAAACAGGACUAUCUGCCCCUCCGCAUCAUCGGGGAGUUGUUCGUCACCCCACCUUCCGUCGAAGUACAGAUAGUUCGUGGGCGUGUUUGCAUCGUACGGUUUGAACUUCUCCGUGGCGUUGCUGUAGCUGUAUGCAUACAUGCUCAGGAUCGGGUCCCAUAGGACGCCUUUGUCCGUUUCGUCUUCAAGGAAGCCGCUUGGUAGGUUGAAGCCUGGGAUCGUGCGGUCGUGGGUCCUAGGGUUUGUUAGAUUUAUUUUCUAUUUUUUUUUUUUAUAAUUCAUUUUAUUCAGUUAACCCUCCGGCUUUACAUACAUACACGCACACACAAAAAAGAGAUAUGAAGAAAGAUCUCCCAGGUCUCAGGGAACCUGGAUGUCUUAUCGCUUGGCGUAUCUUGACCUCAAAUCUGCAGGAGUAAGGGCAUGAGGCUUACCCAGGAGUUGCAUAGACAGCAUGCGAUCCAUUCGCGCUAUAUCCGACUGGACGAAGACCCUGCUUCUCCGUAGCUCGAUAGGUGAAUGCCUCACCGCCCGCAUGCUGGCUAUACCAGACAGCCUGUGGCUGGCCAUUUUCGAAACGAAUCAUGUUGUGUUCCCUAUGAAACACAAUUUUGUAUCAGGCACGUCAUUCCUCCUGAUUCUGUUCAAAAAAAAAAAAAAAAAAAACACGAGGUUCGUCCAGGGAUCUGGAAAAAGAAAAUUGCUUACCAGUCCCCGACAUGAUUGCCGAAUUGGAUUCCGAUGACCGUGUUUCCUUGGUUAUACCUAAUGCCAUCGUCAAUUGACAAAUUCCCACAAGCCUUUCUGUCUAGACGACGAAAGAGGAAAAGAAAACUUGAAAGUUUACCCGUAAUAAUAAAAAUAAAAAGCAUCAACCAUCUUUCCAUCGCCAUGGUCUCUCACAACGAUGAUGGACGAGACAGCGUCUACGGUCUUUCCAGCCUUGUCAGGCCUAGUGCCACUGAACCACUCCGGAAGUGCUCUGAUACCCUCGUUCGUGGUAAGGAAGACAUCCUUGCCGCCCAGGCUAUUCAGCGAAUCGAGAUUGUCGAGCGUCAGAGGUGAAGGUACAUCAGCGACAGGUGUAUAGUUGACUGUGGGUUUUGAGUUUUCAAGUAACGUUGCAAAAGCGGAGGGCAUGUAUUGGUCUUCGCUGUGCAGGUAGAUAAGGGGGGCUACGUGGUGAUAGGUUUAGCACGAUACUUUGGUUAGAAGAAAUGAAUGGGAUGUCCACACUGCCAUUUUCUUUCUGGCGGCAUUUUCAUUUAUCGAAUGCAAGACCCAUACAAAUCAACGGCGCAACAAGAUAUAAAAAAAACCGAAAAAGACCAACCAUAUUUAAGAACGAAGUCCGGGAUACUGUCGUAUUGCGCUAGGCAAGUCGCAUCGACCAACAGGACGAAUCUGAGACACUGAAUCAGGAGCGAUGCCACCAGCGUCGAGAGAGUUCGAUGCGAGAUCCACAUCUUGCCAACCCUGUCCAGGCAGCUUAUUAAGUCGGCGG
rnacentral:sRNA from 1 species